ACACAGCCGCACAUGAUGGGAAAGGUCCACAUUCGUGACAUCUUUCUUCUGGCCACAACCGCCCUCACUGCAGGUUCCGACUGCAACAAACCUGAUGGUCUGGAGUCAGUGAAUGCCCGACUCGAGGCCAUGGAACGUCAGCUUUUGGCUGUCAAUUCAACUCUCUAUGAAAAAGAAGCAAUCAUCAAAAAAAUGACGGUGUCUGACGGUUUUUUUUAGGUAACAUGCCAGAGCCAAUCACGGCUUACCCUCUAUGGUAAUCAGAUCUACAAGUUUCAAAGGGUAACUCUCAACAAUGGAGGAGGCUACCACGCAUCUACUGGUAUAUUUGAAUCUCCUGUGACUGGCACUUACCUAUUCUGGGCCAGCAUACUACCGUAUUCAGGAAAAUACGUCCACGUCGUCCUAAUGAAAGAAAAACAUGCUUUGUUUUCCACUACUUCCAAGGGGGCUCCUGCGAGUUUUUCAUACAUUGUACGAGUCCGGCAGGGAGAAAAAGUAUGGUUUCGAACAUUUCCGUACACAACAGUUAUUUGGUGUUCCGUCCACUCAGGUUAUGGAGGAACCUUGAUUCAUAAGCACUGAUUGGAACACCCCCAGUCAAUCUGAAUAAAGAAACAUUGGGUUAGAA